AUCGAAGAAAAGAAUCAGCUCCAAAAGGAACUGGCAUUGAAAAGGAAGUCUUACGAGGCUUUACAAGCAGAGAACCAGAGGUUGAAGAGUCAACAGAUAAGUUUCAGGUCACAGCGAGGUCUGGCCAAAUCUGAUUCUGCUGCCCCACGUUCCAGUUCUCAAUUCAUUCUUCCUGACCUAAACGAACCACUGUCAGAAAAUUUGGACUGACAGAAAAGAUAAACAUUAACUUGCCAGUGUUUUGGCAAGUAACCAAAUGUAUAUAAGAGGUACAAAUAGACUUAAAGAGGAUAUAAUUUUGUUUGUCUGAGAAAAUGUAACUUGUUUAGAUCAUUAACCAGUGUCUUUAACUUAUUCGUUUCACUUUAUUCUUUGUUUGCGAAACUCUUGUCUAUUUCUUUUCCUAGUAUUUGUCGAUUAACUUAUUUUACAUCUC